CUCCACAUAGGGAAGGUGGUCAUAGGGGACCGCGGGGAUUACCGUCUAGAGGUCAAAGCCAAGGAUGUCUGCGACAGCUGCGCGUUCAACGUGGAUGUGGAGGCGCCCUGUCAGGACUCAUCCGGUCAGAGCCUGGAGAGCUUCAAGCGCUCGGGUGAUGGGAAGUCAGAAGAUGCAGGCGAGUUGGAUUUCAGUGGCUUGUUGAAGAAGAGGGAAGUGGUUGAGGAGGAAAAGAAGAAGAAGAAAGAUGAUGAUGAUCUGGGCAUACCCCCGGAGAUCUGGGAGCUCCUGAAAGGGGCCAAGAAGAGCGAGUAUGAGAAGAUUGC